GCUUAGGUAUUUUAAAUUUUAAAAAUUAUGAUUUGUGGUGUCAUAGAUAUCUGUUGUUGAUCUUAAGUC
rnacentral:tRNA from 1 species